rnacentral:rRNA from 1 species
AUGAAUGGUGAGAGGAAGGUGCAUUGGAUAUCAUGGGAUAAGAUGUGUGCUCCAAAGAGGCAAGGAGGGCUUGGUUUUCGUGACCCUGAAGUGUUCAAUCAAGCUCUCUUGCCCAAGAAAGCGUGGAGAAUUUUAACUUCACCUCAUUCUCUGUGUGGUAGGGUGCUCAAAGCACGUUAUUUUGAGGACUUGAUUCUGUCGGCCACUUGUCCAUCUAAUGCUUCCUGCACUUUCCGUAGUAUUUUGCAUGGAAGGGACUUAUUUGUCGGUGUUCUGGGAAUGGGGGUAACCAGACUUGCCUGCCUGCGGCCCGCGGCGUGGCUCCAUCGACGGCCUGGUACGACCCAUCUUCAACACCAACAACUCAAGACCCUCGCGAGGGGCCAAGCCUCACGAGGAGGAUGA